rnacentral:rRNA from 1 species
GACAGAGGUGCCAAGCGUUAGGCGGAAUCACUGGGCUUAAAGCGUGUGUAGGCGGAUCGUUAAGUACCUUGUGAAAUCCCACGGCUCAACCGUGGAACUGCUGGGUAUACUGGCGAUCUUGAGCCACCUAGGGGCGAGCGGAACAAGCGGUGGAGCGGUGAAAUGCGUAGAUAUCGCUUGGAACGCCAAUGGUGAAAACAGCUCGCUGGGGGCGUGCUGACGCUGAGACACGAAAGCCAGGGGAGCGAACGGG